GUGAGCUGGGGGGCGACUGUCGGGCCGCUGGUCUGAGGAAACUCCAUCCACUAAGUAGGGCUGCGAUGUCGUGAGGCAUAGGGGGAGACCCUUGGCAAUGGACAGAAACGAUACCUCCCGUGGCAUGCGAUGAUUCCUUGGAGGAUGAGGUCGCUACGGGCUUGGGUGAGACGACUAACCCGCAGGGUGCAAGGGCAAAUAGGCGCCGAUACCCUCCUACAGGGGGCGCGGGUAGCCUGCAUAGCUAAAUGUCGCCAAAGGACAGAAGAUGGGUUACACCCUGCACAC
rnacentral:RNase_P_RNA from 1 species